UCCUUUAGCCCAGCCCACACCGCUGGAAAUAGGCCCUUUAUGAGAUUCUCUUCUAAAUCCUAGAAGAGUGUACCCUCCAUUUCCUGAAGAAUCCUGACAACCAAAAAUCAGGAGCAGACUAUGUAUACAAGUCUGGAAUGGAGGACUUUCCAUUCUAGAAGAAAGAGUGGCCAUUUUCAACUCUUCUUCCUUUUGAGACCUCACUAAAAUUAGAGGAACAGAAUUUAAAAAUACAUUACAUCUCCACGAUAAAGAGAACAGGAAAGGAAACAUCAACAGACAAGGGGAUUUGACAGAUAUUUUUGGAGAGAAGAAACGGUGGAGCAGAGGUAAUUAAGCCGAUUGGAGAGAGGCUGUCCUGCAGACCGAGUGAGACAAGGUCCUGGCACUGGAGAGGCUGCUGCCUGGAUCCCUCCCCCAACACAAGAAAUCAGGAAAUCACCACUCCUCUUGCCCCAGGCCAGAGACUAGGUUUCUGUAGACAUGGAAGGUAGAGGCUGCGGACCUGGACCCCAGACACAGGUGAGAGGAGAGGCUUUGCGCUAAAGACAGAGAGAGAGAGAAAAGGAGGUGGGGAAGAAGAAAGGAAAGAAAGGAGGAAGAGAGAAGGCCAGGCGCGGUGGCUCACGCCUGUAAUCCCAGCACUUUGGGAGGCCGAGGCGGGCGGAUCACGAGGUCAGGAGAUCGAGAC
rnacentral:antisense_RNA from 1 species